UACGAAGGGGGCUAGCGUCGCUCGGAAUGACUGGGCGUAAAGGGCGCGUAGGCGGAUGGCACAGUCAGAUGUGAAAUUCCCGGGCUUAACCUGGGGGCUGCAUUUGAUACGUGUUGUCUAGAGUGAGGAAGAGGGUCGUGGAAUUCCCAGUGUAGAGGUGAAAUUCGUAGAUAUUGGGAAGAACACCGGUGGCGAAGGCGGCGACCUGGUCCUUGACUGACGCUGAGGCGCGAAAGCGUGGGGAGCAAACAG
rnacentral:rRNA from 1 species